rnacentral:tRNA from 1 species
UGAGUAUUAAAUGUAUAAUUUUUAGAAGAUUCAAGUUCUUCAUUUUUACUUUUUUCCAGAAGUAAUAAAAAC